rnacentral:lncRNA from 1 species
GACCUGGAUAGGUUACAGGAGUGGGCUGACAUAAACAAGAUACGUUUCAAUACUGGCAAGUGCAUGGUGCUGCACUUAGGCAGUAGAAACCAGCAGCACACUUAUAGAAUGGGAAACUCCCUUCUUGAGAGCACGGAGGCAGAAAGGGAUCUUGGAGUCAUUAUUGACUCCAAGAUGAACAUGGGCCGACAAUGCGAGGUCUCGGUUGGCAGGGCUAACCGGACCUUGUUGUGCAUCCACAGGUGCAUCUCAAGUAGAGCCAGGGAGGUGAUCCUCCCCCUCUUUGUGACACUGGUCAGGCCACAGCUGGAGUACUGCAUCCAGUUCUGUGCACCCCACUUCAGGAGGGAUGUGGACAACAUUGAAAGGGUCCAGAGGAGGGCCACCCGCAUGAUCCGGGGACAACAGGGCAGACCCUACAUUGAAAGACUGUGGGACCUAAACCUGUUCAGCCUUCACAAGAGAAGGCUGAGGGGGGACCUGGUGACUGUCUAUAAACUCACUAGGGGGGACCAGAAGGGUUUGGGGGAGACACUGUUUCCCCUAGCGCCCCCUGGUAUGACAAGGAACAAUGGACACAAGUUAUUAGAGAGUAGAUUUAAAUUAGACAUCCGCAAGAACUACUUCACAGUUAGGGCGGCUAGGAGUUGGAACCAACUUCCUAGGGAAGUGGUGCUGGCUCCUACCCUGGGGAUCUUAAGAAGAGGCUUGAUGCCUACCUGGCUGGACUCAUUUGAGUCCAGUCUUUUUCUCCUGCCCAGGCGGGGGGUCAGGCUUGAAGAUCUACAAGGUCCCUUCCGACCCUACUUCUAUGAUUCUAUGAAAUAUCAGAGAGCUCUCUUUUAUACCCCACCUCCUUCUAGCAAAAGUAUUCAUAUUAAAUGUAUUAAUUUAGGUAUGAUUUUGCAGCAUACACUCAGGCUAUCCUGGAUGGACAAGGAAAACAAGCAUAUUUCUGCAACAGUCACACAAGCAAAAAAUGGGACGAAGCUUACACUCUGAUUGAAACAGAGAAUUAAAUGUCUAUUACAAUAUUUUAUCAUGAGUAGCAUGCCCC